rnacentral:rRNA from 1 species
UACGUAGGGUGCAAGCGUUGUCCGGAAUUAUUGGGCGUAAAGAGCUCGUAGGCGGCUCGUCACGUCGGCUGUGAAAACCCGGGGCUCAACCCCGGGCCUGCAGUCGAUACGGGCGAGCUAGAGUUCGGCAGGGGAGACUGGAAUUCCUGGUGUAGCGGUGAAAUGCGCAGAUAUCAGGAGGAACACCGGUGGCGAAGGCGGCUCUCUGGGACGGUACUGACGCUGAGACGCGAAAGCGUGGGG